GACGAACGCUGGCGGCGUGCUUAACACAUGCAAGUCGAACGGAAAGGCCCUGCUUUUGUGGGGUGCUCGAGUGGCGAACGGGUGAGUAACACGUGAGUAACCUGCCCUUGACUUUGGGAUAACUUCAGGAAACUGGGGCUAAUACCGGAUAGGAGCUCCUGCUGCAUGGUGGGGGUUGGAAAGUUUCGGCGGUUGGGGAUGGACGCGCGGCUUAUCAGCUUGUUGGUGGGGUAGUGGCUUACCAAGGCUUUGACGGGUAGCCGGCCUGAGAGGGUGACCGGCCACAUUGGGACUGAGAUACGGCCCAGACUCCUACGGGAGGCAGCAGUGGGGAAUAUUGCACAGUGGGCGGAAGCCUGAUGCAGCAACGCCGCGUGCGGGAUGACGGCCUUCGGGUUGUAAACCGCUUUCGCCUGUGACGAAGCGUGAGUGACGGUAAUGGGUAAAGAAGCACCGGCUAACUACGUG
rnacentral:rRNA from 1 species